CAAAGGACCACAGCCCGGUGACCAUAGGACAUUCCCAGCAGAUGAGGCAGCCUCCAUUAAAAAGCAACAUGGAUUCUCAUCCCCAGAUGUCUGAGAGAUAAGUUCAGGGCUAAGGCCCACAGAGGGGAUGAAAGCAAAGUGCUGGGAGGGCCUUUUGAAACAGCUUUGGGGGCGGGGAUGUUUGAGAAGUGUCCCCUUAGACCCUCUAAAGGGAAAGUGUCCGUUUUGAUCACAGUGCUGAGGUGCGCAGGGCAGAGCAGUUCCGGUGUGUGUCCUGUCACUUGUCUCUGGUGCACUCUGUGUUCUUUGGGUCUCUGAGUCCUUUCUUCUUGUCGAAAGCUCUCGCUCCCUGUCCUGUCCCCUCGAUGGUCAUGUCCUGUCCUGUGUCACGGGUGUCUGCACGUAUUUGUCCUGGAGCUGCUCUGCCCUGCUGCCUAGCCUGUAAUAGCACAAGUCCUGGGGACUUGAAAUUGGUAAUGCAGGGUGUAUUUGGGCUCUAGUUUUUAUUUGUUGAUUGCCCUAACAUUUCUGGUGCUGUUAAGUUGUCCUGCAGCUGUUUUACACUAGUCCUAACUUCCUUUCAGAUGCAGACAGUUCAAAUAAGUGGCAGAGAGCCCCAGUGCUGGGUGAGGGUGUUGCCAUGAGCAGGUCAGUCAUUGUUUGCAUUUGCAAGGGAAGCCUAAAUGGUUACUGUGUUACAGCAGUGUUCUUUGCCUUUUUUUUAGGAGGUCCAGGCAGAUAGCAGCAGUGAAGGCCCAGUGUGCCAGGUGAGCAGUGGACAGAAGCAGUUGUUCUUGCUCAGGUCUCAAUGUUUGGUGCAACUCUAAGCAUCCAUUCUUGUUUGUGUGCUUUAGGGAAGCCACUUGGAGUAUGCCAAGCUCCUCUCACCAGCUGGCCGAUGGACUUCCUGCGCUUGUGAGUCCUCUGGAAGUAUUUCAGGACUCUUGAGAUGAAGCCUUGAAAUUUUGUAUUUCAAGAUGGCAUCCGGGUAGCCUUUGGCAAUGGCCAAGGAGCUGUGGCAGACGAUGAGAGAUGACGAUGGCAGCCUCUGAGCAUUGCCAAAGUGUGGGGCCCGAGCAACCAGGCAUUCGUACGAGAUCGCUGAGCACGGGACUACAGCCCGGUGACCAUAGGACAUUCCCAGCAGACGAGGCAGCCUCCAUUAAAAAGCGACAUGGAUUCUCAUCCCCAGAUGCCCAAGAGAUAAGUCGAGGGCUAGGGCCCACGGAGGGGACGAAAGUGAGGUGGUGGGAGGGCCUUUUGAAUCGGCUCUGGGGGUGGGGAUGUUUGAGAAGUGUCCCUUUAGGCCACCUGAAGGGAAAAUGCUUCUUUUGAUCACAGUGCUGAGGUGCGCAGGGCAGAGCAGUUCCGGUGUGUGUCCUGUCACUUGUCUCUGGUGCACUCUGUGUUCUUUGGGUCUCCGAGUCCUUUCUUCUUGUCGAAAGCUCUCGCUCCCUGUCCUGUCCCCUCGAUUGUCAUGUCCUGUCCUGUGUCACGGGUGUCUGCACGUAUUUGUCCCGGAGCUGCUCUGCCCUGCUGCCUAGCCUGUAACAGCACAAGUCCUGGGGACUUGAAAUUGGUAAUGCAGGGUGUAUUUGGGCUCUAGUUUUUAUUUGUUGAUUGCCCUAACAUUUUUGGUUCUAUUAAGUUGUCCUGCAGCUGUUUCACACUAGUCCUAACUUCCUUUCAGAUGCAGACAGUUCAAAUCAGUGGCAGAGAGCCCCAGUGCUCGGUGAGGGUGUUGCCAUGAGCAGGUCAGUCAUUGUUUGCAUUUGCAGGGGGAGCCUGAAUGGUGACUGUUACAGCAGUGUUCUUUGACUUCAUUUUUAGGAGGUCCAGGCAGAUAGCAGCAGUGAAGGCCCAGUGUGCCAGGUGAGCAGUGGACAGAAGCAGUUGUUCUUGCUCAGGUCUCAAUGUUUGGUGCAACUCUAAGCAUCCAUUCUUGUUUUUGUGCUUUAGGGAAUCAUCUCAGUGUGCGCAUACCUUUGUCACCAACUGGCUGAUGGACCAGGUUUCAUGCACUUGUGAUCUCGCUGGAAGCAUUGCAGGACCCUGUGAUGGACCUUCCAGUUUUGCAUUUCAAGGCCCCAUCCUGGUAGCCCAGAGGAAUGGCUGAGCAGUUGCAGUGAGUCGGGGAAGUCGGGAGGAGGAGUGAGAGUCCACUUGUGUUUCAGCAAUGCCAUGUUGCCUUGUCUCCACUUAACCUAGGUGUACCCUGCAAUGACGGCGUCAGAAUCCAAGCACGCCCGACGCGUGCAGGCCAAGAACCCGGGCAUUCUGAGGAGGAUGACCAAGAAGUGACAGCUAUAACUUACCAGGCAGGCAGACGGCGUCCUUCUGCAGCCAACAGGGAUUUGCAUCCCCAGAUGUGUGCAAGAUAAGUGGAGGGUCAUGACCCACAGAGGGGAUAAAAGCAGGGUGCUGGGUUGGGCCUUUCUAGAAGGGCUUUUGAUGUCCAAGAAGCGUAUACUUAGUCCACCUAAAGGGAAAGUGUCUGUUUUAAUCACAGUGCUGAGGUGCGCAGGGCAGAGCAGUUCUGGUGUGUUUCCUGUCACUUGUCUCUGGUGCACUCUGUGUUCUUUGGGUCUCUGAGUCCUUUCUUCUUGUCGAAAGCUCUCGCUCCCUGUCCUGUCCCCUCGAUGGUCGUGUCCUGUCCUGUGUCACGGGUGUCUGCACGUAUUUGUCCCGGAGCUGCUCUGCCCUGCUGCCUAGCCCGUAAUAGCACAAGUCCUGGGGACUUGAAAUUGGUAAUGCAGGGUGUAUUUGGGCUCUAGCUUGUGUCCAUUGUUUGCCCUAACAUUUUUGGUGCUGUUAAGUUGUCCUGCAGCUGUUUCACACUAGUCCUAACAUCCUUUCAGAUGCAGACAGUUCAAAUCAGUGGCAGAGAGCCCCAAUGCUGGGUGAGGGUGUUGCCAUGAGCAGGUCAGUCAUUGUUUGCAUUUGCAAGGGAAGCCUAAAUGGUUACUGUGUUACAGCAGUGUUCUUUGCCUUUUUUUUAGGAGGUCCAGGCAGAUAGCAGCAGUGAAGGCCCAGUGUGCCAGGUGAGCAGUGGACAGAAGCAGUUGUUCUUGCUCAGGUCUCAAUGUUUGGUGCAACUCUAAGCAUCCAUUCUUGUUUGUGUGCUUUAGGGAAGCCACUUGGAGUAUGCCAAGCUCCUCUCACCAGCUGGCCGAUGGACUUCCUGCGCUUGUGAGUCCUCUGGAAGUAUUUCAGGACUCUUGAGAUGAAGCCUUGAAAUUUUGUAUUUCAAGAUGGCAUCCGGGUAGCCUUUGGCAAUGGCCAAGGAGCUGUGGCAGACGAUGAGAGAUGACGAUGGCAGCCUCUGAGCAUUGCCAAAGUGUGGGGCCCGAGCAACCAGGCAUUCGUACGAGAUCGCUGAGCACGGGACUACAGCCCGGUGACCAUAGGACAUUCCCAGCAGACGAGGCAGCCUCCAUUAAAAAGCGACAUGGAUUCUCAUCCCCAGAUGCCCAAGAGAUAAGUCGAGGGCUAGGGCCCACGGAGGGGACAAAAGUGAGGUGGUGGGAGGGCCUUUUGAAUCGGCUCUGGGGGUGGGGAUGUUUGAGAAGUGUCCCUUUAGGCCACCUGAAGGGAAAAUGCUUCUUUUGAUCACAGUGCUGAGGUGCGCAGGGCAGAGCAGUUCCGGUGUGUGUCCUGUCACUUGUCUCUGGUGCACUCUGUGUUCUUUGGGUCUCCGAGUCCUUUCUUCUUGUCGAAAGCUCUCGCUCCCUGUCCUGUCCCCUCGAUUGUCAUGUCCUGUCCUGUGUCACGGGUGUCUGCACAUAUUUGUCCUGGAGCUGCUCUGCCCUGCUGCCUAGCCUGUAACAGCACAAGUCCUGGGGACUUGAAAUUGGUAAUGCAGGGUGUAUUUGGGCUCUAGUUUUUAUUUGUUGAUUGCCCUAACAUUUUUGGUUCUGUUAAGUUGUCCUGCAGCUGUUUCACACUAGUCCUAACAUCCUUUCAGAUGCAGACAGUUCAAAUCAGUGGCAGAGAGCCCCAGUGCUCGGUGAGGGUGUUGCCAUGAGCAGGAGGUCCAGGCAGAUAGCAGCAGUCAAGGCCCAAUGUCCAAGGGGAGCAGUGGACAGAAGCAGUUGUUUUUACUCAGCUUUCGGUUUCUGGUGCAAUUCUAAGCAUCCUUUCUCAUUUUUGUGCUUUAGGGAAUCGACUCGGAGUACUCAUACCUCCAUCACCAACUGGCCAACGGACCGGUGCCAGGAGCGUGGCUUCUCGUUUUCCAGCCUUCCUUGCUGUGGUGGUUUUGAGGAACUUACUGGAUGGUUUUCUUUUGUUCAUAGUUGGUGUAGGAGAAGGGCCAUGGUGUGCUUUUUGCUUGUUACGGUUCUUGCUUCAGGUGCUCAUGACAAGUGUUUUUUUUGGGUUGAGUCUUGUGGUUGGAUUUCUUUUUGAUGGGUUCUUAUGUUUUUGAAGGAUGUGUUUUUAAAGGUUUAUAAUGUUUUUUAUGGGUCAUAGCAUGAAGUAGAGGGUAGGUUUUUAAUUCGGCUGUGGAGGCUUUUAUUGGCAUGAGUAUGUAGUGGUUUAUUUUGGUUGGUUUGAGGUAGUGUCCUGUAGUUAAUUAUUGAGGUUUUUUCAAUAUUGAUAAUUGCAUUCUUGUUUAUUAUGUUGUAGGGGUUUUAUUUGUCUUGUUUGAUUGCUUUGUGUGUUUUAUUGUCUCAGACAAUUUGGGAGUUAUUAUUUAUGGUUACUUUUCUCUUUUGGUGACAUGUUUAUUUCUAGGUGGUAUUUGUGUUUUGAUGGUUUAAGGCAUUCUGAGGUCCUUGAGUUAGGAAUUAUUAUUUUGUUGUUGUGAAUAUAUAUUUUUUUUUGUAGUUGGAUGUAUUUGUUGGUUUUUAUUAGUUUGAUUUUUGGGAACAUGGGUAUUUCUAUGGUGGAUCUUUAUAGCUAGGUAUUUUAUUUGGGUGGUGAGUUUUUUGUUUCUUCAUGGUUUCGAUUUUUUUUAUAUCUGUAAUUAUUUGGGGGGAGUUUAGUUAAUUUUUUAGAGUAUUGGGUUCUCUUGAUGAGUUAGUGUAGUGGUAGGGUAUUGUUUGGGUUUUUUUUAGAAACAUUUGGGAUCUGUUGUAUGGUUUGGAGUAUAAGAGGUUAGUUGAAGAGUUUUUUUUCUUUUUAGUGUUUUUUUUUGUUUUGUGUGGGUUUUUAUAGGUGGGUUUUUUUAAUUAAUGUUCCAUUUUUGUUAUGUGAUAAGAACUGUUAGUGAAAGGAGCGUAGUGGGGUUUUUUUUGCUGGUAGUUGGUUGGCUGGUGGAGCCUUUCUGAAUUUUUUGGAUGGUAUUCUUGGUUAUUCGAUGCUGUUUGUUAUGGCAUUUUAUUUUUAGGAAUUGGAUUAUAACUGCAGAGUUCUAACUGUAACUCUAAUGAAACAAAACACAUGCAUAAAUAUGAAAAUGGGAAUAUAAAACUUCAAUUUUAAAUAUAAAUGGAAAACAUAUGAAUAAAACAUGUAACAUGAA